GACGAACGCUGGCGGCGUGCUUAACACAUGCAAGUCGAACGGAAAGGCCCUGCUUUUGUGGGGUGCUCGAGUGGCGAACGGGUGAGUAACACGUGAGUAACCUGCCCUUGACUUUGGGAUAACUUCAGGAAACUGGGGCUAAUACCGGAUAGGAGCUCCUGCUGCAUGGUGGGGGUUGGAAAGUUUCGGCGGUUGGGGAUGGACUCGCGGCUUAUCAGCUUGUUGGUGGGGUAGUGGCUUACCAAGGCUUUGACGGGUAGCCGGCCUGAGAGGGUGACCGGUGACAUGGGGGCGGCGCAGCGGACCAGAGUGAUGAGGGAGGCAGCGGAGGACAAUCGUGCGCGCCGGGGGGAUGCGGGCGCAGGCAGCGGAGGAGGGGGAGGACGCCCAUGCGGGAGGAAACCGGCAGUCAGGGGGGGGGAGGGGGGAGUGUGGGUGAUGAGGAAAGAAGCACGGGCUACCAACGGGGCGGGCGCGGGGGUAAAAGAAGGAAGAGCAUAAAUACACC
rnacentral:rRNA from 1 species